UACAGAGGGUGCGAGCGUUAAUCGGAGUGACUGGGCGUAAAGGGCACGUAGGCGGUUAGAUUAGUCUGAUGUGAAAGACCUGGGCUUAACCUGGGAUGUGCAUUGGAAACGGUUUAGCUAGAGUUUGGGAGAGGGAAGUGGAAUUUCCGGAGUAGCGGUGAAAUGCGUAGAGAUCGGAAAGAACACUCGUGGCGAAGGCGGCUUUCUGGCCCAAAACUGACGCUGAGGUGCGAAAGCGUGGGGAGCAAACAGG
rnacentral:rRNA from 1 species